rnacentral:lncRNA from 1 species
CUCACAGUAAUGUGGAAUCAAUACUUCUGUUCUCAGCCAUAAUCUUGAAUGUAAGAAAGUCUAAUGGGAGCACUGGAUACUUUCUGUCCUCCAGACACUCAAAGCAAGUGAAAGACAAUGGAUUUCUUCUCUACAAAACUGGAGGGAUUCUGGAAGUCAUCAAGCAAGUCACACAAGUGAAUGCAGUUGCAGAGGUCAAGAAAGGGAGGUGUCCCAGUAAAUCCUGCUUGAGUCGGUCACCAAUAACAAUAGGAGUGCAGCCAGGAUCUCCUAAUAAUAGACAAUGUGUUCUUGGGUGAUCCUAAAGUCAAACCUGUCUCUGGGAAGUCUGAUGCUAUGUGAUGAAUGUGAUGAGUCCAUCUCUCUGUUAUGUGUUGUGUCCUUCCCAAAGCAGAAAAAGCCUAAAAUGUGCAAGAAGGUUGCCACAAAAUGUAUCACACAUAGAUCUUCUGAAUUACAGACUAGGAAACUACUCCCCCAAAGAAUACAUCACAGAGUGAGCCAUGCAAGACUGCUGCAGGAUGGUGCUGUUGUGAGAGGAAAGCAAACACAGGUCCUCCAGCCUGGAUUGUCACCUCCUUCUAAUCCUGACCCGACUACAUGUGUCUUCACAAAUCAUUUCACCUCCAUUCCUGACUCUUUGCUCAUGUUGCCUACAGAGGCUGUAAAUUUUCUUUUAAGUGAAGGAGCUUAUUAGAAGGAAGAUGUACAUUUUCUGUAAUUUUUUGUAGAAAGACAAGUAGCUGAUGAAGCUGUCACCACUGAUGGGAAAUAGCUGUUUUAUGGUGACAAACAACGGAAGGAAGACCUGAAAGGAGCGACAAGUG